rnacentral:rRNA from 1 species
UACGUAGGGGGCGAGCGUUGUCCGGAUUUAUUGGGCGUAAAGAGCGCGUAGGCGGCCAGGUAGGUCUGCUGUGAAAACUCGAGGCUCAACCUCGAGACGUCGGCGGAAACCAUCUGGCUAGAGUCCGGAAGAGGAGAGUGGAAUUCCUGGUGUAGCGGUGAAAUGCGCAGAUAUCAGGAAGAACACCCGUGGCGAAGGCGGUUCUCUGGGAAUGUCCUGACGCUGAGGAGCGAAAGUGUGGGGAGCGAACAGG